AUCUAGCAGACGAGUCUCAAAUAGGACAAAACGCGCUUGCUGGAU
rfam:Schistosoma rodhaini strain Burundi genome assembly, scaffold: SROB_scaffold0000059